rnacentral:rRNA from 1 species
CAGUCGAGCGAACGGACGAAAGCUUGCUUCUCUGAUGUUAGCGGCGGACGGGUGAGUAACACGUGGAUAACCUACCUAUAAGACUGGGAUAACUUCGGGAAACCGGAGCUAAUACCGGAUAAUAUUUUGAACCGCAUGGUUCAAAAGUGAAAGACGGUCUUGCUGUCACUUAUAGAUGGAUCCGCGCUGCAUUAGCUAGUUGGUAAGGUAACGGCUUACCAAGGCAACGAUGCAUAGCCGACCUGAGAGGGUGAUCGGCCACACUGGAACUGAGACACUGUCCAGACUCCUACGGGAGGCAGCAGUAGGGAAUCUUCCGCAAUGGGCGAAAGCCUGACGGAGCAACGCCGCGUGAGUGAUGAAGGUCUUCGGAUCGUAAAACUCUGUUAUUAGGGAAGAACAUAUGUGUAAGUAACUGUGCACAUCUUGACGGUACCUAAUCAGAAAGCCACGGCUAACUACGUGCCAGCAGCCGCGGUAAUACGUAGGUGGCAAGCGUUAUCCGGAAUUAUUGGGCGUAAAGCGCGCGUAGGCGGUUUUUUAAGUCUGAUGUGAAAGCCCACGGCUCAACCGUGGAGGGUCAUUGGAAACUGGAAAACUUGAGUGCAGAAGAGGAAAGUGGAAUUCCAUGUGUAGCGGUGAAAUGCGCAGAGAUAUGGAGGAACACCAGUGGCGAAGGCGACUUUCUGGUCUGUAACUGACGCUGAUGUGCGAAAGCGUGGGGAUCAAACAGGAUUAGAUACCCUGGUAGUCCACGCCGUAAACGAUGAGUGCUAAGUGUUAGGGGGUUUCCGCCCCUUAGUGCUGCAGCUAACGCAUUAAGCACUCCGCCUGGGGAGUACGACCGCAAGGUUGAAACUCAAAGGAAUUGACGGGGACCCGCACAAGCGGUGGAGCAUGUGGUUUAAUUCGAAGCAACGCGAAGAACC